AACAUCGCGCACCUGCGGGAACCUGCGGAGGGAUCAUUAAAAAUGGUUAAAUGCCUCUCGUUGCUGGGUCGCCUAAGCCUCAGCAACGAACGUUGGCACCACAUCUUGUGCACCGUACCGUCUUUGGUGGUGGGACGGCCGCUGCUCCCUCCGGGCAGCGCGCCGUCCGUCAGUCCGGAUCGCAAGGUCCGGACCGUGGACAAGCCACCGCAUGUAUUUCCAACAUCUGCUUUUGGUCGA
rnacentral:misc_RNA from 1 species